rnacentral:ncRNA from 1 species
UAAAAAUUUAAUUUAUAUUUAAAAAUUUAUUUUAUAAAUAAAAAUAUUAAUAAAAUUUAUGAAAAAUAAUUAUUAAAUUUAAAUAAUUAAUAAUAAAAUUAAAGAAUAUAAUUAAUAUUUAUAAUAAUUAAAAUUAUGUUAAUAAUAUAUAGUAAUUUAUAAAAAUAAUAAUAAAAUUAGUGCCAGCAAUUGCGGUUAUACUAAUAUUAUAAAUAAAUUUUUUUAUAAUUAAUAAUUUAAUAAUAAUUUAAAAAUUUUAAUAAAAAAUAAUUUUUAUAUGGUGAAAUAUUUAAGAUAAUAAUAAGAUUAAUAUUGAAUAAUAAAUAAAUUUAUAAAAUUAUAGAAAAAAUUAGGAUUAGAUACCCUAUUAUUAUAAUUAAAAUUAGUUAAUAAAAGAUUAAAUGUAAAACAUUAAAUUUAAAAAAUUUGGCGGUAUUUUAAAUAGUUAGAGGAAUUUGUCAAUUAAAUGAUAAUCCACGUUUGGAGUGUCCUAGUCUAGUUUUUAUAUAUUGUUGUAUAAAAAUUAUUUUAAAAGAAAUUUAAUAAUUAAAAUAUUUAAUUUAAUUUGAAUAUAAAUCAAAAUGUAGAAUUAUUAGGUAUAUAGAUGAAUUACAAUUUAAUUUAAUAUUAGAAUUAUUUUUUUAAUUAAAAUAAUGAAAGAGGAUUUAAGAGUAAAUUUAAAGAAAUUUUUAAAUUGAAAUAUUAAUUAAAAUAUGUACAAAUUGCCCGUCAUUUUCAUAAAUUAAUAAUUGAAAGAAGUCGUAACAAAGUAAAUGUACAGGAAUGUGUAUUUAGAUAAGU